rnacentral:rRNA from 1 species
CUACGGGAGGCAGCAGUGAGGAAUAUUGGUCAAUGGGCGAGAGCCUGAACCAGCCAAGUAGCGUGCAGGAUGACGGCCCUAUGGGUUGUAAACUGCUUUUAUAAGGGAAUAAAGUGAGAGUCGUGACUCUUUUUGCAUGUACCUUAUGAAUAAGGACCGGCUAAUUCCGUGCCAGCAGCCGCGGUAAUACGGAAGGUCCGGGCGUUAUCCGGAUUUAUUGGGUUUAAAGGGAGCGUAGGCCGGAGAUUAAGCGUGUUGUGAAAUGUAGAUGCUCAACAUCUGCACUGCAGCGCGAACUGGUUUCCUUGAGUACGCACAAAGUGGGCGGAAUUCGUGGUGUAGCGGUGAAAUGCUUAGAUAUCACGAAGAACUCCGAUUGCGAAGGCAGCUCACUGGAGCGCAACUGACGCUGAAGCUCGAAAGUGCGGGUAUCGAACAGGAUUAGAUACCCUGGUAGUCCGCACGGUAAACGAUGGAUGCCCGCUGUUGGUCUGAAUAGGUCAGCGGCCAAGCGAAAGCAUUAAGCAUCCCACCUGGGGAGUACGCCGGCAACGGUGCAACUCAAAUGAAUUGACGG